rnacentral:lncRNA from 1 species
UGUCUGUAUGUGUGUGUGUGUGUGUGUGUGUAUAUAUAUAUAUAUAUAGUGUAUGUUUUUCUUUUUAUUAAAGUGAAAGCAUCAGUGGACCAGAGCAGUGCACGCUUGGGAAGCUCCCAGCCAGGGCACCACCAUGACCUCAGCUGUUUGGGCCCACAGGCCACAGCAAAAAAGCCUGCCUGAAAUAGAGCUGCACAAAUGCACAAGCAAUAGCAAGGGGCCUGCCCAGAUUCCAUUAGAAGAAGAUAACUCAAUAUCUGUAUUUCCAAUGGGUUUUAAAAGAGCUUCAGGAAGCCAGAGAUGGGGCGGGGUUUCCAGUUUUCACCAGUCUGCUGGAAGUGAGAAGGCCUAUGUGGGGGAGGGGCCCACACUGAUGGCUUCACACAGCUCCCAUCCUCACCGGUCUGCUGGUGGUGUGACUGCAUUGUCAAAGUGGAAAGUUUUCCUGCUACAGUUUGGAUCGGGAGUGCUGUUUGAAGACCCUUUGUUCAAUGCUUGGCCUCCAGUUUAACAAGAGGUGAAAGAGUCGGUCACAGGAGCACCCCAUCCACUCUAGCAAGCUACCACCCCUCUUCACUGGACAGCUGAUCGACCUCAAGACUGUUGUACCUGCUUUCACCCCUGCUGCCUCAGAAGAAGUGUUAAAGUUGCCUUGUUCAACUCUCCUGAGCCUGCUGUGUUCAUCACUUUUUAACUUUCCAUUCAGAGACAAGUUGAUAUCUUGAAAUUGGCCACAGGGAGAUUAUUUAGACCACAGAAAAUGGUCUGCUACAAGUCAGGGCUUUUUAAAAAAUAGUUCCCAGAGAACUGAUUGUCAACAUUUACUGACACACUACUGCCUAUAUUGCAUUCUCCAUGUAGCCAUAACAGUGAUAUUCAGAAAACAUAAACAAUGUCAUGUAGUUUCAAGUUUUAAAACCUACCGCGACUGCAGGUUUUAGAAUCUAUUCACCAGAUCCAAUAAGGUCUUGCUCUACAUUCUAGAGUGAAUGUCUUAAGUUAGUCACUUGAUCCUGGACCCCUCAGCCUCCUAUCCAUCCCUCACCCUCUGUCCCUCUUCUAGGAGCAUGCGCAUUGACUUGCAGCUUGGCCUGGACUCCUCCACUGACCUCUGCUACCUUCACAUUGGAAAAAAUAGACUUCGUGCUCAGGGCUACUGUCUCCUCUUUUUACAGGGAUUAGGAAUGACACUCCUUUGCCACUAUUCAUUUACCCAUUACAGCACAUAAGUGUUUUGUCAUUGAGUUCCUUGUAACCCCUUCAUAAAGUUUGUUGUUUUUUGUAAAAUUGUUUUCAUUGUUUUGAAAUAAUAAAAUGUUUGAGAAAG